ACAAAAAAAAAAACGGAAACGGAAACGAAAAACGGAAAUAGAAACGAAUCGGAAACGGAAACGGAAACGAAACGACAUAAAAGAACUUAUCUGAGCUCGCCCACAUCCCGUAUUUAUCACACUCGUUUUUUUUUGAUUUUACUCUUU
rnacentral:ribozyme from 1 species